GCGAAUGGUGGAUGCCUUGACUGGUAAAGGCGAUGAAGGACGUACUAGACUGCGAUAAGCUACGGGGAGCUGUCAAGAAGCUUUGAUCCGUAGAUUUCCGAAUGGGGCAACCCAAUGUAUAGAGAUAUACAUUACCUAUAUAGGAGCGAACGAGGGGAAUUGAAACAUCUUAGUACCCUCAGGAAAAGAAAUCAAUAGAGAUUGCGUCAGUAGCGGCGAGCGAAAGCGCAAGAGGGCAAACCCAGUGCUUGCACUGGGGGUUGUAGGACUGCAAUGUGCAAGAGCUGAGUUUAGCAGAACAUUCUGGAAAGUAUAGCCAUAGAGGGUGAUAGUCCCGUAUGCGAAAAACAAAGCUUAGCUAGCAGUAUCCUGAGUAGGGCGGGACACGAGGAAUCCUGUCUGAAUCCGGGUCGACCACGAUCCAACCCUAAAUACUAAUACCAGAUCGAUAGUGCACAAGUACCGUGAGGGAAAGGUGAAAAGAACUGAGGUGAUCAGAGUGAAAUAGAACCUGAAACCAUUUGCUUACAAUCAUUCAGAGCACUAUGUAGCAAUACAGUGUGAUGGACUGCCUUUUGCAUAAUGAGCCUGCGAGUUGUGGUGUCUGGCAAGGUUAAGCAAACGCGAAGCCGUAGCGAAAGCGAGUCUGAAUAGGGCGCUUAGUCAGAUGCUGCAGACCCGAAACGAAGUGAUCUAUCCAUGAGCAAGUUGAAGCUAGUGUAAGAACUAGUGGAGGACUGAACCCAUAGGCGUUGAAAAGCCCCGGGAUGACUUGUGGAUAGGGGUGAAAGGCCAAUCAAACUUCGUGAUAGCUGGUUCUCUCCGAAAUAUAUUUAGGUAUAGCGUUGUGUCGUAAUAUAAGGGGGUAGAGCACUGAAUGGGCUAGGGCAUACACCAAUGUACCAAACCCUAUCAAACUCCGAAUACCUUAUAUGUAAUCACAGCAGUCAGGCGGCGAGUGAUAAAAUCCGUCGUCAAGAGGGAAACAACCCAGACUACCAGCUAAGGUCCCUAAAUCUUACUUAAGUGGAAAACGAUGUGAAGUUACUUAAACAACCAGGAGGUUGGCUUAGAAGCAGCCAUCCUUUAAAGAAAGCGUAAUAGCUCACUGGUCUAGUGAUUUUGCGCGGAAAAUAUAACGGGGCUAAAGUAAGUACCGAAGCUGUAGACUUGCGCACAACUUAGAUUAUUUAAGUUUAGAAUAUGAGAAACUAAGUUAUAUUUUUACUGAUUUUUAUAGAGUAAAGAUAGAAAUAAAACUUAGUAAAAUCAGUAAAAAUAUUCUUAGGCUAAAGUUAAGUAGUUUAAGUUGUGUGCAAGUGGUAGGAGAGCGUUCUAUUUGCGUCGAAGGUAUACCGGUAAGGAGUGCUGGAGCGAAUAGAAGUGAGCAUGCAGGCAUGAGUAGCGAUAAUUAAUGUGAGAAUCAUUAACGCCGUAAACCCAAGGUUUCCUACGCGAUGCUCGUCAUCGUAGGGUUAGUCGGGUCCUAAGUCGAGUCCGAAAGGGGUAGACGAUGGCAAAUUGGUUAAUAUUCCAAUACCAACAUUAGUGUGCGAUGGAAGGACGCUUAGGGCUAAGGGGGCUAGCGGAUGGAAGUGCUAGUCUAAGGUCGUAGGAGGUUAUACAGGAAAAUCCGUAUAACAAUACUCCGAGAACUGAAAGGCUUUUUGAAGUCUUCGGAUGGAUAGAAGAACCCCUGAUGCCGUCGAGCCAAGAAAAGUUUCUAAGUUUAGCUAAUGUUGCCCGUACCGUAAACCGACACAGGUGGGUGGGAUGAGUAUUCUAAGGCGCGUGGAAGAACUCUCUUUAAGGAACUCUGCAAAAUAGCACCGUAUCUUCGGUAUAAGGUGUGGUUAGCUUCGUACUAGGAUUUACUCCGAAAGCGAAGAAACUUACAACAAAGAGUCCCUCCCGACUGUUUACCAAAAACACAGCACUCUGCUAACUCGUAAGAGGAUGUAUAGGGUGUGACGCCUGCCCGGUGCUCGAAGGUUAAUUGAUGGGGUUAGCAUUAGCGAAGCUCUUGAUCGAAGCCCGAGUAAACGGCGGCCGUAACUAUAACGGUCCUAAGGUAGCGAAAUUCCUUGUCGGUUAAAUACCGACCUGCAUGAAUGGCGUAACGAGAUGGGAGCUGUCUCAAAGAGGGAUCCAGUGAAAUUGUAGUGGAGGUGAAAAUUCCUCCUACCCGCGGCAAGACGGAAAGACCCCGUGGACCUU
rnacentral:rRNA from 1 species